AAAGAAUCGUUUACGUCAGCUGAGAAUAAGUAUAUAUAGAUAAAAUAAUUUUAUUCUUAUUAAUCACAAAUUUCUUUUUAUUAUCCAUUUGCAUUUGUAGGGCGUAUUAGUGGAACCAUGUGCUUUCGAUGUAUCGAUUGCUAGGGGACCGUAUAUUGUGUGCACAUUUCCCGUUUGUGGGAGUUAGUGGAUUAAGGUUUUUUAGAAUUCCAUUUUGCUGAAUAUUUUGUCGUGUAACUGGGUAUUGUAUAGUCUGCUGGUUUGCAAAUAUUUAAAUGAAAGUGUAAGGUAAUUUGACGGGUUACACACCCAAGAUUGUACUUUCUGUGCAUGGACAGAAAGCCAAUGCGCAGAGGUACCAGUACACGCCCAGACACCACCGGGAUGGACAUCACCAGCCGCUGCACUCUGGGAGAUCCAAACAAGCUCCCUGAAGGAGUCCCACAGCCAGCUCGGAUGCCUUAUGUGUCGGACAAGCACCCACGUCAGACACUGGAGGUCAUUAACCUCCUUCGUAAACACAGAGAGCUGUGCGACGUGGUGCUGGUGGUAGGCACGAAGAAGAUCUACGCCCAUAGGGUCAUCCUGUCUGCCUGCAGCCCCUAUUUCCGAGCCAUGUUCACAGGCGAAUUAGCUGAGAGCCGCCAGACAGAGGUGGUGAUCAGGGACAUCGAUGAGCGUGCCAUGGAGCUGCUUAUUGACUUUGCAUACACAUCACAGGUCACAGUGGAGGAGGGUAAUGUACAGACACUUUUGCCAGCUGCCUGCCUGUUGCAGCUGGCUGAGAUCCAGGAGGCUUGUUGCGAGUUCCUCAAACGCCAGCUCGACCCCUCCAACUGUCUGGGAAUCCGUGCCUUCGCGGACACUCAUUCCUGCCGAGAACUGCUGCGCAUAGCUGACAAGUUUACCCAGCACAACUUCCAAGAAGUAAUGGAAAGUGAGGAGUUCAUGCUCCUUCCAGCUAACCAACUGAUCGAUAUCAUCUCAAGCGAUGAGCUGAAUGUACGGAGCGAAGAGCAGGUGUUUAAUGCUGUUAUGGCCUGGGUUAAGUACAGUAUCCAGGAACGCCGACCACAGUUGCCCCAGGUUCUCCAGCAUGUCCGGCUGCCAUUGCUGAGCCCCAAGUUCCUAGUGGGGACUGUGGGGUCGGAUCCCCUUAUCAAAAGUGAUGAGGAAUGCCGAGACCUUGUUGAUGAAGCAAAGAACUAUCUGCUGUUACCUCAGGAGCGACCCUUAAUGCAGGGCCCGCGAACACGGCCUCGGAAGCCGAUUCGAUGUGGGGAAGUCCUGUUUGCAGUGGGGGGCUGGUGCAGCGGUGAUGCCAUCUCCAGUGUGGAGCGCUAUGACCCCCAGACCAACGAGUGGCGCAUGGUGGCCUCUAUGAGCAAACGCCGGUGUGGAGUGGGUGUGAGCGUCCUGGAUGAUCUUCUCUAUGCAGUUGGCGGUCAUGAUGGCUCCUCUUAUCUAAACAGUGUGGAGAGAUAUGACCCCAAGACGAAUCAGUGGAGCAGUGAUGUGGCCCCUACAAGUACCUGUAGAACCAGUGUGGGGGUAGCUGUAUUAGGGGGCUAUUUGUAUGCAGUUGGUGGCCAAGAUGGAGUGUCCUGCCUCAACAUCGUAGAAAGAUAUGAUCCAAAAGAGAACAAGUGGACACGAGUUGCUUCCAUGAGCACCAGGAGGCUGGGUGUUGCUGUGGCAGUUCUGGGUGGGUUUCUCUAUGCUGUGGGAGGGUCGGAUGGAACAUCCCCUCUCAACACAGUGGAGAGGUAUAAUCCACAAGAAAACCGAUGGCACACAGUGGCUCCCAUGGGGACGCGCAGAAAGCACCUAGGCUGUGCUGUCUACCAGGACAUGAUCUACUCUGUUGGGGGUCGAGAUGACACCACUGAGCUUAGCAGCGCUGAACGCUACAACCCUAGGACAAACCAGUGGUCUCCUGUGGUUGCCAUGACAUCUCGGCGAAGUGGUGUAAGCUCUGCCUUUUUCCCCCCCCACUGAUUUUUCUGUGGGGUUCAAAUUGGAGUCCAAGAUGGUGUGACUUAGACAAUGUUUUAAUACAAAAUUUGCUGUAAUGAAAAGCUGUGGGGGACAAAAAGGUCUUUGUGUCACGUUUGGCAAGCGGGCGAGCAGCGAAGCAGGCAAACAGAGCCAUAAAGACGGGGUUUAUUGUGGGUGGACUAGCAGACAAGGAACAAAACAUAACAAUACAAUGACGAAUCUGGGGAAGACUGACUGAGACUCGGACUAAAUACACAAGACAAACUGAGUUUAACGAGCAACAGUGGAGAACAAUCAGGCAUAAACACGAGGUAACGAGGUGGGCGUGGCACACACAAGGAUCAUACGGAGCUGGGCGUGACACUUUGGUUGUGGGUUCCAUUUCCACUCUUGGCUGCAAUGUUUAUGUGGAGCUGGCAUGAUCUCACCAGGGUAAUUGCAUUUUUUUCCUGAAAUCCUGCUUGGGAUCAAUAGAACAUCUUUAAUCUCAUCUAUCUAAAUUGACUGGGAACUGAGAAAUUGUACGUAAAUUAUAUUCAGGAUUGAAAUGUGCUGUUGCAUGCAGACUAUGCUUUAUGCCUGAGAUGGUAAUUGACCAUUAUUUAACUGUCAAUGCAGGCAGAGAUGGCAUGGCAAGUUCAUUUAAAAAAAUAUGGCUACAAUCCUCUGGGAAAAUAAGUCCCUGUUUCAAUAUAAUUUUGCUACUCCUACAUGCCUACUUGUGUCAGGAUAUGAUAGAAGUAGAAUAUGUUGUAUCAUGCCACUUGUCCUGGACAGAAUCACAAGGUUUUGGAGCCUCUCCCGGACAGCAGAGCACAGUAGCACAGGAGCACCCUGAAUGGGUUAUUGCAUGCAUACAUUCAACAUUAAUUAAUCCCCUGGGGACGAGCACAUUGUGAGAGAUGUAGUUAAAGUUUCCAAUCUAUUUGUUUAUAAUUUACCAGAUCUUUUCGUAGAAUCACAAAAAAAAAUAAUCAGUUUUUUCAAAAUGUCGAUUGUCAGAUAUAGUAAAGUUUUUAAAAUUAUAAUAAUUUGUUCAGAUGCAAAAAUGUGAACCAUGUCUCCUUCAUUUUACCCUUAUUGGGGGCAUGAAGUACCACGCUUACCUUCAAGAUCUCUGAUCACAUUGUAAACAACCACAUUGCCAUGUAUUUACAAUGUAUUUUCAAUAGUAAGUCUAUGGUAAUGCAUGGUAAUUACCCUUUUUUCUUUGGGGGUGACGCAAUUCAGGUUUAUUUCCAUGAUCUCACCGCAAUAAAAGGUGUUCUAGGUCGAAACAAAAUUUAUUGAAAACACCUUUCACUCUAAUAAGAUGGCAAGCCUCAUGAAUUGACAGGAAGCACCUCAGGUUUUUUGGAAAAUGGUGGAGGAAUGUGGCAAUGAAGAUAAAUUUGCGGCGGAAGAUUGCAACACUGAUAAAGAAUUGUUUCAUUUUGAAAACUGGCUUGAUCCAGUUGUUGAUGACCUCUCCAAGUAAGUGCAUUUUUAUUACCAUACUUGUUGAUACAUGCAUAAAUUUAUAAAAACAAAUUUAGUGUACAUGUGCUUAUCAUAAGUUAUAUUUGGCUCUUUCUCGAGUUGGUUAGUCAUUACUAUUUUAGGUUCACUAAUGUAGUCAUAAUUGAUUGAAAAUCUGAAACACUGAAAUCAUACAGGCACAUAAAGUUUUGUUAGUUUUUGUGUUAGCCUUGUUGUGCAAUGUAUUGGCAUAACUGUUUUGUAUUCGUGUUAGCUAAUGGCUGGAAUGCAGUUUCGGUUUGUUGUUGUGCUGUUAUCACAUAUUUUUUGCAACAUUUACAGAGACGAAGACUGAUCUGUAGGGCACCUUGGAACAUUGGUCAGACAGGAUCACGCUAUUCCAAGAGUUCACCUCUUCCAAAAAUGCAAGUUCCCUGCUGGCUGAUGAAAAAGUGAACAAUAUGUGCAAAACGCUCUUCCAUGUAUAUAGCUUGUUUGGUGGGGAGAGCUGUGACUAGCUGGUGGGACACUUGGGCCACCUAGGCCAGGUGGGUUUAGCAGUUGUAAAUGGACAAUUAAUGGCUGUUGGAGGCUUUGAUGGCACAACAUAUCUAAAAACAAUAGAAGUCUAUGAUCCAGAUGCUAAUACAUGGCGACUCUAUGGAGGAAUGAACUA